UCUCUGCCCAGUCAACAACAUUUAGAAACAGUUACUCUGCAAAGAUCAGCUAUCAUAUUGAAAAUCUUCAUUCCAAGUGAGACUUUUAACAUAGCAACUAGAAGAAAAAUUACAGGGCUGGAAUGGAAUCAGUUGCCUUGGCAGCAAGGUCAUUCUCAGUGGCCACUUUGUGGCUACUAUAACAUCUCUCCAGACUCCUCAUGAAAAAGUGGGACCCGCCCUCGAGUCUCAUUUCUCAGAGAGACUUGACAUAACUGCACAGAAUAAGCAGUGUUAUACAGAGCCCUGCAAAGGAACAAGUCUUCAGAUGAAUCUUUUUCUUCAGAUGAAUCUUUCAAAACAAAAUACAGUAAUUGAGUGUAGAUUUUCAAUCAAGAUGGGAAACUAACAAAUUUCCUUCGUCAUGUUGCUUGAACUAUAAUUUUUUUGCUAAAUCUUUCAAAUAUGCUUCCCCA